UACGAAGGGAGCUAGCGUUGUUCGGAAUCACUGGGCGUAAAGGGCGCGUAGGCGGCUUGGUCAGUCCCGUGUGAAAUCCCUCGGCUCAACUGAGGAACUGCACGGGAAACUGCCUGGCUUGAGUUCGGGAGAGGGAAGCGGAAUUCCGGGUGUAGCGGUGAAAUGCGUAGAUAUCCGGAGGAACACCGGUGGCGAAGGCGGCUUCCUGGACCGACACUGACGCUGAGGCGCGAAAGCUAGGGGAGCAAACGGG
rnacentral:rRNA from 1 species